rnacentral:ncRNA from 3 species
UGCAGGAACUUGUGAGUCUCC